rnacentral:rRNA from 1 species
CCUACGGGAGGCAGCAGUGAGGAAUAUUGGUCAAUGGGCGCGAGCCUGAACCAGCCAAGUAGCGUGAAGGAUGACUGCCCUACGGGUUGUAAACUUCUUUUAUAAGGGAAUAAAGUGAGGCACGUGUGCCUUUUUGUAUGUACUUUAUGAAUAAGCAUCGGCUAACUCCGUGCCAGCGGCCGCGGUCAUACGGAGGAUCCGAGCGUUAUCCGGAUUUAGUGGGUUUAAAGGGAGGGUAGGUGGGUUGUUAAGUCAGUGGGGAAAGUUUGCGGCGCAACCGUAAAAUUGCAAUUGAUACUGGUAGACUUGAGUACAGGUGAGGUAGGUGGAAUUCGUGGUGUAGCGGUGAAAUGCUUAGAUAUCACGAAGAACUCCGAUUGCGAAGGCAGCUUACUAAACUGCCACUGACAUUGAGGCUCGAAAGUGUGGGUAUCAAACAGGAUUAGAUACCCUGGUAGUC